rnacentral:snRNA from 1 species
GUCCUCUCCAGAGUGACAUGCAAAAUUGCAACGAUACAGAGAAGAUUUGCAUGGCCCUUGCACAAGGACGAUACGCGCUAGUUCAGAGCGGACGGUCUGCAGACCACAAUAUUUAU